rnacentral:rRNA from 1 species
CAUGAAGCUGGAAUCGCUAGUAAUCGCAGGUCAGCAUACUGCGGUGAAUACGUUCCCGGGUCUUGUACACACCGCCCGUCACACCAUGGGAGCCGGAAAUGCCCGAAGCCAGUGACCCAACCUUAGGGAGGGAGCUGUCGAAGGUAGAGCCGGUAACUGGGGUGAAGUCGUAACAAGGUAUC